AAAAGUGAAAGAGAUUUAAGAGCUGCUGUUCAACACGACAGUUCAGGAGAAAUAUAUAGAACGAUCUACAAAUAUAAUAUAAGAAAUCCUUAUGCACACACAGAAGAAGACUGGCUGUAAAAUGAGUCUCUGUGAGGAGAAAGAGGAGAAGGAUGUUGUUCAUGAUCAGAAUAAGACAGCAGCAUCUCCAGGGCCAAGCUGUGUGUCUAUGAGGAGUGAUAGAUCCAUGACAGAACACCGAAACUUCAGUACCGGAUCAGUGAACAUUAACCCCAG